GUGUGUUUCUCCAGAGCUGUACUGAACUAUUCCUGCUGUCCCCAGGGGUCUGAUGAUGAUGGGCUGGGUCCUGCUAUUCUCUGCUCUGCUGUGGGCUGGACCGUCCUCGGCGCAGUCCGGUAAGAGUCCCGAACCGGGGGCCGAGUGUGGGUUCCCGGUCCCACACAGAGGUCCCACCUCGAUGUCUUUCUGAGUGUCCGGAGAGGAGGGUCCUGUAAUACCCAGGAAUGGGCACUAGGGGGAGUGUGAUGGCAGGGGUGGUUGUAAUACCCUAGAACUGACAGCAGGGGGAGGGCUUCACCAGUGUGUGAGAGGAUCUCUCUGCGACUCCAGCUCACUCUCUCC
rnacentral:lncRNA from 1 species